rnacentral:rRNA from 1 species
GAAAAGAAACUAACAAGGAUUCCCCUAGUAGCGGCGAGCGAAGCGGGAAAAGCCCGGGAUGAAAAUCUCUUAGGAGAAUUGUAGUCUGAGCUCCCUUGGGCGGUCAGUGUGGGUAAAUCGUCUGGGAUGACGUGCCAUGGAGGGUGAGAGCCCCGUCCACCCCACACAGGACCCGCCCGCACGAGGGCGCUUCAACCGAGUCGGGUAGCUUGGGAAUGCUGCUCCAAUUGGUGGUAAAUCUCAUCAAAGGCUAAAUAACGGUGGGAGACCGAUAGCGAACAAGUACCGUGAGGGAAAGAUGGAAAGAACUUUGAAAAGAGAGUGAAAAGCGCUUGAAACCGUCACGGGGGAAGCGGAUUGCGUGAGUGAUGGCGUGCACUGUUCAGCUCAAAAUGUGGAGUGUAUUCUGUGCGCGCCGGGCGUGUGUGGCUGGGGUGCGUGCGAUUUUGGCACGCGUUCCUGGUGAGGGCUCCCUGUCUGUCAGGUGAGGACACACGCGAAAUGACGCAAUACGACCCGUCUUGAAACACGGACCAAGGAGUCUAGCACGGCUGCGAGUCGAAGGGUGUUAAAACCCAGAGGGCGCAGUGAAAGCGAAAGAAAGCAAAUUGGGGAGGCGUUGCGGUUUUACCAAAAUGUCCUACCUCGAGCACCUGUGCUGGGACCCGAAAGAUGGUGAACUAUGCCGGAGUAGGGCAAAGCCAGAGGAAACUCUGGUGGAGGCUCGUAGCGAUGCUGACGUGCAAAUCGCUCGUCGAACUUGGGUAUAGGGGCGAAAGACUAAUCGAACCAUCUAGUAGCUGGUUCCCUCCGAAGUUUCUCUCAGGAUAGCGGGCCGACGACAUGUUGUUUUGUGCGGUAAAGCGAAUGAUUAGUGCAUUUGGGGGCCGAAGGCCUUCAGGCGAUUCUCAAACUUUAAAUGCGCAAGGGGGCGGCUGCUUAAUUGAGCCUGCUCUUUGAAAAACGUCGGCCCUGUGGGCCACUUUUGGUAAGCAGAACUGGCGAUAAGGGAUGAACCUUAAGCGCGGUUAAGGCGCCGCAUUGCCCGCUUAUAGACCCCACAAAAGGUGUUGAUUCAUCCAGACAGCAGGACGGUGGCCAUGGAAGUCGGAAUCCGCUAAGGAGUGUGUAACAACUCACCUGCCGAAUGAAUUAGCCCUGAAAAUGGAUGGCGCUGAAGCGGGCAGCCGACACCGCGCCGUUCGGGCGAGACGAUGCCCGGAUGAGUAGGAGGGCGUGGCGGUCAGUGACGCAGGCGUGGGUGCAGACCCCGCUGAAACGGCCGCUAGUGCAGAUCUUGGUGGUAGUAGCAAAUAUUCAAGCGAGAUCCUUGAAGGGCGAAGCGGGGAAGGGUUCCACGCGAACAUUGAUUGGGCGUGGGUGAGUC